UGGGGAAUAUUGCGCAAUGGGGGCAACCCUGACGCAGCAACGCCGCGUGCGGGACGACGGCCUUCGGGUUGUAAACCGCUUUCAGCAGGGAAGAUAGUGACGGUACCUGCACAAGAAGCCCCGGCUAACUACGUGCCAGCAGCCGCGGUAAUACGUAGGGGGCGAGCGUUAUCCGGAUUCAUUGGGCGUAAAGCGCGCGCAGGCGGCUCUUCAAGCGGAACCUCUAACCCCGGGGCUCAACCUCGGGCCGGGUUCCGAACUGGAGGGCUCGAGUGCGGUAGAGGCAGGCAGAAUUCCCGGUGUAUCGAUGGAAUGCGCAGAUAUCGGGAAGAACACCGGUGGCGAAGGCAGCCUGCUGGGCCGGCACUGACGCUGAGGCGCGAAAGCUAGGGGAGCGAACAGG
rnacentral:rRNA from 1 species